rnacentral:rRNA from 1 species
CGCCCUACGGGGGGCAGCAGUAGGGAAUCUUCCACAAUGGACGAAAGUCUGAUGGAGCAACGCCGCGUGAGUGAAGAAGGGUUUCGGCUCGUAAAGCUCUGUUGGUAGUGAAGAAAGAUAGAGGUAGUAACUGGCCUUUAUUUGACGGUAAUUACUUAGAAAGUCACGGCUAACUACGUGCCAACAGCUGCGGUAAUACGUAGGGGGCAAGCGUUAUCCGGAAUUACUGGGUGUAAAGGGAGAGUAGGCGGCAAGGUAAGCGAUAUGUGAAAGCCUUUAGCUUAACUUAAGGAUGGCAUAACGAC